rnacentral:rRNA from 1 species
UACGGAGGGGGCUAGCGUUGUUCGGAUUUACUGGGCGUAAAGCGCACGUAGGCGGCUUUGUAAGUUAGAGGUGAAAGCCUGGAGCUCAACUUCAGAAUUGCCAUUAAUACUGCAUCGCUUGAAUCCAGGAGAGGUGAGCGGAAUUCCGAGUGUAGAGGUGAAAUUCGUAGAUAUGCGGUAGAACACCAGUGGCGAAGGCGGCUCACUGGACUGGUAUUGACGCUGAGGUGCGAAAGCGUGGGGAGCAAACAGG